AUGAAAUGGAUACAAGACCAACCUGAUCAAAUUACAUAAACUAUACUUAAUUUGUUGCCAUAAGGCGCAAAUGCAAGUGUUGCGCAUGCUCACUGAAGUCUGAGUUCAAAAUACAACAACUGAAGGCGCAAUGGCGAUCUACUGUCUGACUCGGCGAAAAGGAGGAUUUGGAUGAACAGAUGUGGAUGUUUUACAAGAAACCUCAUCAGUGGGACAAUAACUCAAUUAUGAUAUGUGAGUUUUGUGGAAACGUAAAGUGUGUGGAAGAAGCAUCACAGAAGUAUCCAAUAUGUUUAAGUAACUAAAACAUUCUAAGAUUAAACUUGGACAUUUUGAGGAGAGAUUCAGUCAACCUGUUCACAGUAAAUUAAAUAAAAGAAUUAAUGCGGAUAACGACUGUCAACGUUCAUAGCAGCUGGACAGAUACACUGUUGAUCAAAUGAAAGUUUUCAGCAGAAAAGGAGCUUCUGGACAAAAGAUAUCACACACAUUGCAGUUGCAGACAAGUGCGAAGAUAUACACUUCAAAUGAGACUGUGUUAUAAAGAGUCUGUGUGUGUAUCUCAAUGGGGACAUUACAACACUUCCAGUUCUCCAGAAUUCUUCCAGAAUUCCAGGACUGCAAUCCUGAAGGAACUGAGGGAGGAAUUUCUGAGACUACUCUGGGCCCUUUUGUGACCCUUAAAGAAAGCGCUGAGGAUGAGCCAGUGGAUGUUGGCGUAGUACUACAACUACUACAAAAAACUACUACAACAC